CCGCCCCGCCCGCCGCGCGCGGCGGGCGGGGCGGGGGCACGGGGGGUUAAGUCAGGCAACGAGCGAGACCCACGCCCACAGUUGCCAGCGUACUCUCCGGAGUGACGGGUACACUGUGGGGACCGCCUCUGCUAAAGCGGAGGAAGGAAUGGGCAACGGUAGGUCAGUAUGCCCCGAAUAUCCCGGGCUACACGCGGGCUACAAUGGUUGGUACAAUGGGUAUCUACCCCGAAAGGGGACGGGAAUCUCCUAAACCCAAUCUUAGUUCGGAUUGAGGGCUGCAACUCGCCCUCAUGAAGCUGGAAUCCGUAGUAAUCGCGUUUCAACAUAACGCGGUGAAUACGUCCCUGCUCCUUGCACAA
rnacentral:rRNA from 1 species